rnacentral:rRNA from 1 species
UGCAAGUCCAACGAACCUUCGGGUUAGUGGCGGACGGGUGAGUAACGCGUGAGAAUCUGCCCUCAGGAGGGGGGUAACAGUUGGAAACGACUGCUAAUACCCCAUAUGCCGAGAGGUGAAACUAAUUUCGCCUGGGGAUGAGCUCGCGUCUGAUUAGCUUGUUGGUGGGGUAAUGGCCUACCAAGGCUUUGAUCAGUAGCUGGUCUGAGAGGACGAUCAGCCACACUGGGACUGAGACACGGCCCACACUCCUACGGGAGGCAGCAGUGGGGAAUUUUCCGCAGUGGGCGAAAGCCUGACGGAGCAACGCCGCGUGAGGGAUGAAGGCCUUUGGGCUGUAAACCUCUUUUCUCAAGGAAGAAGAUCUGACGGUACUUGAGGAAUAAGCCACGGCUAAUUCCGUGCCAGCAGCCGCGGUAAUACGGGAGUGGCAAGCGUUAUCCGGAAUUAUUGGGCGUAAAGCGUCCGCAGGCGGCCGUUUAAGUCUGUUGUUAAAUUGUGGAGCUCAACUCCAUCACGGCAAUGGAAACUGUUCGGCUUGAGUAUGGUAGGGGCAGAGGGAAUUUCCGGUGUAGCGGUGAUAUGCGUAGAUAUCGGGAAGAACACCAGUGGCGAAAGCGCUCUGCUGGGCCAUUACUGACGCUCAUGGACGAAAGCCAGGGGAGCGAAAUGGAUUAGAUACCCAUGUAGUCCUGGCCGUAAACGAUGAACACUAGAUGUUGGGGGAAUCGACCCCCUCAGUGUCGUAGCUAACGCGUUAAGUGUUCCGCCUGUGGAGUACGCACGCAAGUGUGAAACUCAAAGGAAUUGACGGGG